AUACCUUUCUCGGCCUUUUGGCUAAGAUCAAGUGUAGUAUCUGUUCUUAUCAGUUUAAUAUCUGAUAUGUGGGCCAUGUGCCCACUUCGAUAUUAAAUUUAUUUUUUGUGGGGGAGGGUCCACCACAGUGGCUUGCCACUGGGGCCCUCGCACGUCGCCCAGGCGUUGCACUGCUGCCCGGGCCUGGCGCACCCCAA
rnacentral:snRNA from 1 species